rnacentral:rRNA from 1 species
UACGUAGGGGGCAAGCGUUGUCCGGAAUCACUGGGCGUAAAGCGCGCGCAGGCGGUCAUCUACGUCUGGGGUGAAAGCCCGGAGCUCAACUCCGGGAUUGCCUUGGAUACGGGAUGACUUGAGGAUCGGAGAGGCAAGGGGAAUUCCACGUGUAGCGGUGAAAUGCGUAGAGAUCGGAAAGAACACCAACGGCGAAAGCACUCUGCUGGGCCGACACUGACACUGAGAGACGAAAGCUAGGGGAGCGAAUGGG